CUCAUCUCAGGAUCUCCCCUGGAGAGUUUUCAGUACUCUACCAGUCUUGACUACAGGAGGGAAAGUCAAGAAGAAGCAUAUCCAUUCCAUUCCUAGCUAGGAUAAUGGCUAGCGAGUGGAAGGCAAUCUGCUACAAGU